CCUACGGGGGGCAGCAGUGGGGAAUAUUGGACAAUGGGCGAAAGCCUGAUCCAGCCAUGCCGCGUGUGUGAAGAAGGCCUUCGGGUUGUAAAGCACUUUCAGUGGGGAAGAAAGCCUUGGGGCUAAUACCCUCGAGGAAGGACAUCACCCACAGAAGAAGCACCGGCUAACUCCGUGCCAGCAGCCGCGGUAAUACGGAGGGUGCGAGCGUUAAUCGGAAUUACUGGGCGUAAAGCGCGCGUAGGCGGUCUGAUAAGCCGGUUGUGAAAGCCCCGGGCUCAACCUGGGAACGGCAUCCGGAACUGUCAGGCUAGAGUGCAGGAGAGGAAGGUAGAAUUCCCGGUGUAGCAGUGAAAUGCGUAGAGAUCGGGAGGAAUACCAGUGGCGAAGGCGGCCUUCUGGACUGACACUGACGCUGAGGUGCGAAAGCGUGGGUAGCAAACAGGAUUAGAUACCCCAGUAGUC
rnacentral:rRNA from 1 species